UAUUGAUAUUUUGGACAAUGUGAAGGUCGGUAGGUGGUUGCACCGACAGGCAUUAGCCAUGGUGUUUCCAGCGGAGAUCUCAGGUUCAAGCCCAACGGAAGUGCAAAAUUUAGGUAAGAUUAUCGUCUUUUGGGUUCCUGCUUGUGGCUAUCUUUUUUAAGGACACAUUUGAGAGUUGUCUCAGUCCAUAGGAAAUUACUGUUUUUCAUGUCGAUACAUACUAAUUCUACGGUGAAGGUUGAUGGAAAUGAUUUUACUUAAGCAGACGCUUUUUCUCCCGUCUGAUUUACCCUCAGUGUCGGAUCUCAUUCCUGUUACACAAUAAAAUGGGCAAGGCGUGUUUAGUAACUGUUCGUGCUUUAAAUUAUAUGCUCGUGUUUGAUUACUUGAGGACACAUAUGCAUACUAGAGAGCAAUGUCAUGCGCUUGACCUCUGAGUAUUGUUGAUAAAGCACUUAUAAAUAGUACUGAAACUAAAACUCAGUCGCUAAAACAUGUAAUCAUUCAGCUUUCUUUGCAGCUACAUCUAUGACCACCAUGCUACUCACCAAAGUGAUAAACUUCGUAUUUAACCACUACCGUUGACUACUUAAGUUCAGUGUAGGGUAAAUGGAUGAAGUCUCCUAAUGGUGAUAGUGGUGCAGGCAACAUUUUCUACAGACUUUGAAGUUCAAAAUGGACAACUUAGUAUGUGCGGAUUAUCAGGUUCUUGUAGUUUGUCUCCACAUCGGUUGCCCGCAAGGAGUAUUUUUUUGUCUUAUGUAUUAAUCUAUAAUUUUCUUUUCUCCAAUGUACAAUUUCUCAAGUUCAACAAGAGUGUGGUUAGUGCCUUUUUUUCCAUUCUAUCAAAAAAGGAUUGGGUUCUACUAUAGAAAGCGAUAACGGAACAAAACAAGAAAAGAUCAACCAGGAGAGAGGGAGGAAUUGGCCAGCAUGGGGUCAUGAGUGGUACAAACAGGAAGAUGCAUGCCCAUCGGUUCUGUCGGUUCAGUUUACUUUGGAUUUUCAGUUCUUUUCACCUCAUAAUUAUCUUUUAUUUCUGUGGUAGUGUAGUUAAGCUUAUUUAUCUUUUAUUCCAUCCCACUAGAGGCCUCUUGUGCACCUUGAUUUAGUUCUGGUGUUUAUUUGGUGCCAAUGUCGUAGGACAAUACAUUCAUGCAUGGAUUUAUUCCAACAUUCAAAUUUCAAGAUCUUUGUGCCACUGGUUCGCUGCAUUCACGUUAAUGGAGGUAAUAAACUCUUACUGAGGAACAUGCGUAAUGAUGGAGGAACGGCCGUCAAAGUUAAAGGAGGGGGAAAAGCUAGGAGUCACUGCUGAUUAAGGUGCGGAAGUUGGUGGACACGUACAAGGACGAGGAUGUGAGCAUCACCGUGAUAGGGCACAACUCUGGGUGGCGUUGGCCACCCUAAGCGCGUUCUGCAUCGCCGAGAAUUGUCAAAAACGGCGUUCGCGCGUGGGAGCAGCCGACUUCAAGAAGCGAUUCGACGUCGCCAUGGCCUCCGCGGUCGCAACGCCUGAGACAUCGUUCCCUGGCACUCAGCGCUGUUGUGCCAUGACAUGAGCUUUGAGCUGGCCAUCGACAUCGGCACGUCGCAAUACCUGAUGCCUGAGGAAGUCGCCGCCCGGUUCGUAAUUGUUGAUGGGGUCGC